rnacentral:RNase_P_RNA from 1 species
GUAAGUGGUUAAUCGCUACAUUAAUAAUGUAGAGGAAAGUCCAUGCUUGCCCAAGCUGUGAUGCUUGUAAAAUCUAGACCAUUUUCAAUUAGAUGGGUGGUUUGACAACCAACGUGGAAGAAGAUGCUAAGGUUUUUUACAAAACUAUGUGUUGGAUUCAUAACAUACAACAGUGACGAAUCGGAUAGGAAACUUUCCGGGUGAAACGCGGUAAACACUAAGGAGGCAAGAAACUCAGUUUGAGUCGUAGUGACUCUGGUAAGAGGAACAAUUAUUGCAGAACCGAAUGUAAUAGUUGAUAGCUUUAAUCAGCUAUAGAUAAAUGGUUAACUAAACAAAACAUGGCUUAUAGCU